rnacentral:rRNA from 2 species
AUGAACGCUGGCGGCGUGCUUAACACAUGCAAGUCGAACGAUGAUCCCAGCUUGCUGGGGGAUUAGUGGCGAACGGGUGAGUAACACGUGAGUAACCUGCCCUUAACUCUGGGAUAAGCCUGGGAAACUGGGUCUAAUACCGGAUAUGACUCCUCAUCGCAUGGUGGGGGGUGGAAAGCUUUAUUGUGGUUUUGGAUGGACUCGCGGCCUAUCAGCUUGUUGGUGAGGUAAUGGCUCACCAAGGCGACGACGGGUAGCCG